GACGGAGGGUGCUAGCGUUGUUCGGAAUUACUGGGCGUAAAGGGCGCGUAGGCGGCUGCUCAAGUCGGGUGUGAAAGCCCGGGGCUCAACCCCGGAACGGCACCCGAGACUGGGCGGCUCGAGUCCGGGAGAGGUGAGUGGAACUGCGAGUGUAGAGGUGAAAUUCGUAGAUAUUCGCAAGAACACCAGUGGCGAAGGCGGCUCACUGGCCCGGUACUGACGCUGAGGUGCGAAAGCGUGGGGAGCAAACAGG
rnacentral:rRNA from 1 species